CAUCUAUAAAAAGUGGAUCGCCAUGCAGAGCUGGGAGAUAUAGCAGCAACUAAUACCAGCUAAAACUUCUUCUCUUCAAGUUCAUAAUUUUUUCGUUCAUCUAGCUUCGCUCAAUCAACGAUGUCGGACAAGUGCGGCAACUGUGACUGCGCCGACAAGAGCCAGUGCGUGAAGAAGGGAAACGGCUACGGCCUGGUCAUCGUGGAGACCGAGAAGAGCUACAUAGAUACUGUUGUCAUGGAUUCUUCAGCAGCAGCCGAGCACGAUGGCAAGUGCAAGUGCGGUGCAAGCUGCACCUGCACAAGCUGCACAUGUGGUCAUUAAGCCCCCACCGAUGCAGGGCAUCUGUGUGGAAUUGUGAGAGUCAUGAAUAAUGUAAUUGUGGUCAAUAAUGUAUUGUGUCGUAGUACUAUGCGCUUUUUAUUUGUUAUGUGAGAUGUGUCUGUCAAUUGUCAAGUCAUCUUAAUUUCAUAGUCAUGAAUGGUCGGUCAUCUCUGUGGCCUUGUGUGGUUUAAUGGACCUCUAAUAUAUAUA